rnacentral:rRNA from 1 species
CCUACGGGAGGCAGCAGUGAGGACUAUUGGUCAAUGGGCGCAAGCCUGAACCAGCCAAGUCGCGUGAGGGAUUACGGUCCUAUGGAUUUUACACCUCUUUUGUCGGGGAGCAAGGCCCGCCACGAGUGACGGGAAGGAGAGUACCCGAAGAAACAGCAUCGGCUAACUCCGUGCCAGCAGCCGCGGUAAUACGGAGGAUGCGAGCGUUAUCCGGAUUUAUUGGGUUUAAAGGGUGCGUAGGCGGAAGGUUAAGUCAGCGGUCAAAUGUCGGUGCUCAACACCGGCCUGCCGUUGAAACUGGUCGUCUUGAGUGAGCGAGAAGUAUGCGGAAUGCGUGGUGUAGCGGUGAAAUGCAUAGAUAUCACGCAGAACUCCGAUUGCGAAGGCAGCAUACCGGCGCUCAACUGACGCUGAGGCACGAAAGCGUGGGGAUCGAACAGGAUUAGAUACCCGUGUAGUC